UAGCUAGUUGGUGAGGUAAAGGCUUACCAAGGCGACGAUCUGUAGCGGGUCUGAGAGGAUGAUCCGCCACACUGGAACUGAGACACGGUCCAGACUCCUACGGGAGGCAGCAGUGGGGAAUUUUGGACAAUGGGGGCAACCCUGAUCCAGCCAUGCCGCGUGAGUGAAGAAGGCCUUCGGGUUGUAAAGCUCUUUCGGCCGGGAAGAAAUCGCAUGGGCCAAUACCCUGUGUGGAUGACGGUACCGGAAUAAGAAGCACCGGCUAACUACGUGCCAGCAGCCGCGGUAAUACGUAGGGUGCGAGCGUUAAUCGGAAUUACUGGGCGUAAAGCGUGCGCAGGCGGUUUUGUAAGACAGGCGUGAAAUCCCCGGGCUUAACCUGGGAACUGCGUUUGUGACUGCAAGGCUAGAGUACGGCAGAGGGGGGUGGAAUUCCACGUGUAGCAGUGAAAUGCGUAGAGAUGUGGAGGAACACCAAUGGCGAAGGCAGCCCCCUGGGUCGAUACUGACGCUCAUGCACGAAAGCGUGGGUAGCAAACAGGAUUAGAUACCCUGGUAGUCCACGCCCUAAACUAUGUCAACUAGGUGUUGGGUGGGUAAAACCAUUUAGUACCGUAGCUAACGCGUGAAGUUGACCGCCUGGGGAGUACGGCCGCAAGGUUAAAACUCAAAGGAAUUGACGGGGACCCGCACAAGCGGUGGAUGAUGUGGAUUAAUUCGAUGCAACGCGAAAAACCUUACCUACCCUUGACAUGCCAGGAACUUGCCAGAGAUGGCUUGGUGCCCGAAAGGGAGCCUGGACACAGGUGCUGCAUGGCUGUCGUCAGCUCGUGUCGUGAGAUGUUGGGUUAAGUCCCGCAACGAGCGCAACCCUUGUCGUUAAUUGCCAUCAUUUAGUUGGGCACUUUAACGAGACUGCCGGUGACAAACCGGAGGAAGGUGGGGAUGACGUCAAGUCCUCAUGGCCCUUAUGGGUAGGGCUUCACACGUCAUACAAUGGUCGGUACAAAGGGUUGCCAAGCCGCGAGGCGGAGCCAAUCCCAGAAAGCCGAUCGUAGUCCGGAUUGCAGGCUGCAACUCGCCUGCAUGAAGUCGGAAUCGCGAGUAAUCGUGGAUCAGCAUGUCACGGUGAAUACGUUCCCGGGUCUUGUACACACCGCCCGUCACACCAUGGGAGCGGGUUCCGCCAGAAGUAGGUAGCCUAACCGCAAGGGGGGCGCUUACCACGGCGGGGUUCGUGACUGGGGUGAAGUCGUAACAAGGUAGCCGUAGGGGAACCUGCGGCUG
rnacentral:rRNA from 1 species